GCUUACGGCAAUACCAGCAUAGGCACGCCCGAUCUCGUCUGAUCUCGGAAGCUAAGCAGGGUCGGGCCUGGUUAGUACUUGGAUGGGUGACCGCCUGGGAAUACCAGGUGCUGUAAGCA
rnacentral:rRNA from 10 species